rnacentral:rRNA from 1 species
AUUGAACGCUGGCGGCAUGCCUUACACAUGCAAGUCGAACGGUAACGCGGGGCAACCUGGCGACGAGUGGCGAACGGGUGAGUAAUGCAUCGGAACGUGCCCAGUAGUGGGGGAUAGCCCGGCGAAAGCCGGAUUAAUACCGCAUACGACCUACGGGUGAAAGGGGGGGAUCGCAAGACCUCUCGCUAUUGGAGCGGCCGAUGUCAGAUUAGGUAGUUGGUGGGGUAAAGGCCCACCAAGCCUUCGAUCUGUAGCUGGCCUGAGAGGACGACGAGCCACAGUGGGACUGCGAGAGGGCCCAGACGCCUACGGGGGGCAGCAGUGGGGAAUUUUGGACAAUGGGCGCAAGCCUGAUCCAGUCAUGCCGCGGGCGGGAAGAAGGCCUUCGGGUUGUAAACCGCUUUUGUCAGGGAAGAAACGCUCUGGGCUAAUACCUCGGGGUAAUGACGGUACCUGAAGAAUAAGCACCGGCUAACUACGUGCCAGCAGCCGCCGUAA